rnacentral:tRNA from 1 species
AGCGGAGUAGCGCAGCUCGGUAGCGCGACAGAUUCAUAGUCUGUAGGUCAUGGGUUCGAAUCCCGUCUCCGCCA